GGCAAAUUGAAGGUAGUUGAUUACAAUCCAGACUUUAUAGAAUGCCACAUUUUGUCAAUUUCCUUAUCAAUCGGAUUUGGCGUCGCUUUUAUUUUGAUCGUAACUAUAACCGGUUAUAUCUGCCGGUGGCGUUUCCGAUUCCAGUUGUACAAACUUCGUUCACUACGUAAACAAUACAAAGAACUUGUCAACAAAGAGGAUUUCGUAUAUUCUGCGUACGUAGUUUAUUGUUACGAAGAUUUCACAUGGGUAAAAAGAAGCCUCAUUCAAGAAAUAGAAGAGAAGCACGGCUAUAAGUUGUGUAUUCCACACAGGGACUUUGAAUUAGGAAAAGUAUUUUCAGAUAACAUU
rnacentral:lncRNA from 1 species